rnacentral:lncRNA from 1 species
GCCAUGAGGGCGGGAACCCUCGUACGCGGAAGUUCAUGAGGGCGGGACCCUCGUACGCGGAAGGUCAUGAGGGCGGGACCCUCGUACGCGGAAGUUCAUGCGGGCGGGACCCUCGUACGUGGAAGGUCAUGAGGGCGGGACCCUCGUACGUGGAAGGUCAUGAGGGCGGAACCCUGGUACAUGAAAUUCGUUCUCUUAUUUAAGAGACAAAGAACGCCCUUGUUUUUUCCACCACGUGAUGGCGCAGACAGAAGACAACCAGCAUCUAUGAACCAGGAAGCCCCCACCAGGCACUGAAUCUGCCCCUGCGUGGAUCUUAGACUUGCAGACUCCAGAACUAACCUUACAAUGUCUCUUCUCCAUUAAGAAAACCUACUUCAACAUCUCCAUUGGUUCUCAACAUAGAGGUCCAAAUUUUGGUCUGGAGCCAGAGACAAUAUAGGAUGAAGUUUGAUUUGUUCCAAAACCCACAGAAAUCUCUAAAAUGGAAGAAUUUUCUUAGAACCAAAAGGCAUGGAAUUGAUGACAUGAAACUGGUAGAGGUGGUUUCUGCUAUUUUGGAGCCUGGCCUCUAACAGCCCAUGAGACUCUCGGCUCACUCUCUGUCUCUGCUUACAAGCUAGAAGAGAUACUGUCUGAGACGACAGAGAUGCACAAUGGAAGGAAUCGUGAUCUCUAAGCCACUGCUUGAAAGAGAUUGGUCAGGGCAUCUGUUCAACUUGCCUGGGUUCUACAUGAGAAGCACGUCUUGCUUUUGUUCAGCACAUUCAGCGAGUGAUUGCCAUUACCCUGACGCAUGCUGAAGUUGACAAGUCUUGGACCAAGGUGCCACCUGCACUUGCAUAUUCAUACUGCCCAAUAACACUCACUGGGUUGCGGGAAAUAAGGCAGAGAUUAAAGUCUAGGAGGUUGCAGAGUUCGCCCUGCAUGGACUGAAACAUUGGAGCUACAUCAGGCUGAGGAUGCUCUGGGUUGGCUUUCCAUGCUUGUUUGUUUGUUCAUGGUUCAGUUUGUGUAAUUCAGCCACCACUGGCCCAAAAAUCCAAAGAAAAAUUCCCUUUUCCCACAUGUUACUGACCUGGUUAGAAAAGCCAUAUUAGGGGUAAUUUUGAAGAGCCACUGUUUUGAAA